UCCGGCUUAUCACCGGCAGUCCCUUUAGAGUGCCCAACUAAAUGCUGGCAACUAAAGACAGGGGUUGCGCUCGUUGCGGCACUUAACCCAACACCUCACGGCACGAGCUGACGACAGCCAUGCACUACCUGCGCAGAAGUCCCUUGCGGGAGGUUCUGGCUUUCACCAAAAUUUCCUCUGCAUGUCAAACCCAGGUAAGGUUCUUCGCGUUGCCUCGAAUUAAACCACACGCUCCGCUGCUUGUGCGGGCCCCCGUCAAUUCCUUUGAGUUUCAGCCUUGCGGCCGUACUCCCCAGGCGGGGCACUUAAUGCGUUAGCGCCGACACUCAAGGGGUCGCUCCCCCAAGCAUCUAGUGCCCAUCGUUUACGGCGUGGACUAC
rnacentral:misc_RNA from 1 species